CGAUUUGACCGAAUGACAUUUGGUUUGGUUUGGCAGUUCAAAGAGCAGACGUUUUCCAUGGGCUUCUACGUUUUUUAGCGAGAAAAUUGAAAAUUCAUACAUUUGUUUUGUGUUAAAAUUCGUCGUUGAUCGUUAGUGAUGGUGUCGUCACAGGUUAUUUACGCGGCGGUGCCGAUUUCAGUGAUCGUCGCUAUCGGCUUACUACGCAAAUGGAAGUCCAGGAGUUGGGCAAAGUGCUUGAGUAACACAUGCUUGAGGGGUAAAACAUUUAUCAUCACUGGGGCUAACAGUGGGAUAGGCCUGGAAACAGCCAAGGCACUGGUGCGGAGGAAGGCGCGAGUCAUAUUCGCAUGCCGCGAUAUCGCGAAGGCCAAACAGGCCAUCGCUGAUAUUAGGCGGGAGCAACCGAGUGGCGGCGAACUGAUUCCCAUGCAGCUAGACCUGUCAUCACUGGCAUCAAUAGAAAAUUUUGUUGAAGUCGUUAAAGCAGGCUUCUACAAGAUUGAUGUGCUCAUCAACAACGCUGGUGUGGUGAUACCAUUGAGCCAAGAUGAGAAGACUAAAGAAGGAUUUGAGGUGCACCUGGGAAUCAACCACUUGGGACACUUUCAUUUGACUAAUUUACUCCUGGAUUUGCUGAAGAGGGCUUCACCUAGUAGAAUCGUGGUAGUAUCAUCAACACUUCACGAGAAAGGAAAGAUAGAUUUCGAGGAUCUGAAUUUACGAUCUGAAAUUGAAAAUGCGAAGAAACGGAAGAGCGAUGCGCGUCACAACCCUGGCUACAGCAACUCAAAGCUGAUGAAUGCUUACUUCGUGAGGGCACUGGCAGACAGAUUGAGAGGAACCGGAAUCGAUGUCAACGCCUGCUGCCCAGGAUUCUGCUAUACUAACUUGUUCAGACAUUCAAUAAGAUGGUACCACUACGUUCUGAUGGCGCCAAUAUUCCUUCUCUUCAUGAGAUCGGCCAAACAAGGCUCCGAAACAGUUGUAUACUGCGCAACGGAUUACAGCAUCGAGGGCAACAGCGGCAAGUUCUAUCGGGACUGCGCAGAGUACGAAUCGAAAUACCCCUUCGACAAGGAGGUGGAAGUCAAGCUGUGGAACGUCAGUGAGGAGAUGAUCAAGGCCAGGAAACCCUUGUGAAUGACGACAGAAAUAUAACCCCUCUGAAUGAACUACACACCUCGCUGAUACGACCUUGACGCGCGGUGCCUACUUAAUUCACACGGGUUAUAAGGGUGUACAGUAGGAACGGGUAGAAUUUAGUGAAUGGGCCUUUAAAGUUCCAUAGAACCCCGGACGGGGCAACACCGCCCACAAAUAAUGUAGAAGCCGUGUAAAACGUCUCAUUUUAGACAUGAUUUUAUUUCCCCGUGCUAUGUUUUAGCAGUUAUUUUAUUUACUAACUUACAUGCUCUAAAGGUGUUCGUAUAAAAAAGACGAAGUACAAUGGUUGUAUGAAAUAAUUACAUUAAUUAAUAUUAAACAUAUUAAGGCUUAAAAGGCUUUCUUGAACUGCGUACUUAUACUAGAAAAUCAGUCUGAAAAUACGUACAUUAUAGAUAAUAUAAAAUUUUGUAAGAGUACAACUUUGUUUUUGUUGUAUCACUAGAACUACACGUAGUUUGAUGACGUCAAUACUGUUAUAAUUAUAUGAACAGACAGACAAACAGAACUAGAGGGCUAAAAGGCAACAUUGAAGCAAUUCAUCUAAAUAAGCAAUAUUGCAAUUUGACAUUUGCGCAUAUAAAAUUAAGUGCGCAGUGCAAAUAAAUGUCAAAUAGCAAUAUUGCUUUUUACGUGUAUUGCUUUGGUGUGGCCUUUUUACCCCACCGGGUUAUAAAAAAGGUCAUAAUUUUACAUUACAAAUGUAAAACUACCACGCGCCCUUGACCACUUUAUAAAGACAUCUUAUAGCUACUUAACACACAAAAUAAUUUAGAACGUAUGACUUAUUUGCAGUGCAAUAAAGUUUUAUUUCCCAUUGUUAUUAUAUGGUAUAUGGCUAGUAAGGUCCUUGCCGACGGGUGCUGUUUAAUUCCCAAAGACGGACAAAUGUUGUAUAUUAUAUUGAAUAUUUAAUUUUAUUAAACUUUAAUGGGUAUGA
rnacentral:misc_RNA from 1 species